ACCCUACGGGGGGCAGCAGUGGGGAAUAUUGGGCAAUGGGCGCAAGCCUGACCCAGCAACGCCGCGUGAAGGAAGAAGGCUUUCGGGUUGUAAACUUCUUUUGACAGGGAAGAGUAGAAGACGGUACCUGUCGAAUAAGCCACGGCUAACUACGUGCCAGCAGCCGCGGUAAUACGUAGGUGGCAAGCGUUGUCCGGAUUUAUUGGGUGUAAAGGGUGCGUAGACGGGAAAUUAAGUUAGUUGUGAAAUCCCUCGGCUCAACUGAGGAACUGCAACUAAAACUGGUUUUCUUGAGUGUUGUGGAG
rnacentral:rRNA from 1 species